rnacentral:rRNA from 1 species
GAUCCUGGCUCAGGAUGAACGCUAGCUACAGGCUUAACACAUGCAAGUCGAGGGGCAGCAUGGUCUUAGCUUGCUAAGGCCGAUGGCGACCGGCGCACGGGUGAGUAACACGUAUCCAACCUGCCGUCUACUCUUGGACAGCCUUCUGAAAGGAAGAUUAAUACAAGAUGGCAUCAUGAGUCCGCAUGUUCACAUGAUUAAAGGUAUUCCGGUAGACGAUGGUGA